rnacentral:tRNA from 1 species
CGGGAUGUGGCGUAGUUUGGUAGCGCGCUUGGCUGGGGGCCAAGAGGUCGUCGGUUCAAAUCCGGCCAUCCCGA